GAUGAACGCUGGCGGCGUGCCUAAUACAUGCAAGUCGAGCGAACAGACGAGGAUCUUUCUCCUCUUACGUUAUCGGCUGACGUGUGUGUAACACGUGUAUAACCUACCUUUAUUACUGGUAUAACUUCGUGAAACCGGAGCUAAUACCGGAUAAUAUAUUUAUCCGCAUUGUUCAUUAUUUAAAUACUUUUUUUCUUUCUCUUAUAGAUGUUUCCGCGCCGCAUUAGCUAGUUGGUAAGGUAACGGCUUACCAAGGCAACGAUGCGUAGCCGACCUGAGAGGGUGAUCGGCAAAAGGGGAAGUGAGACACGGUCAAGAGGCAGACGGGAGGCAGAAGUAGGGAAGAUGACGCAAUGGGAGAAAGGAGGAAGGAGCAAAGCCGAGUGAGAGAAGAAGGUAGUGGGAUCGUAAAAAUAUGUUAGGAGGGAAGAAAAAAUGUGGAAGAAAAUAUGCACGGAUUGACGAUAACUAAAAAGAAAGAAACGGCUAAAUACGUG
rnacentral:rRNA from 1 species